rnacentral:sRNA from 1 species
ACAAACUUUCAGAGACAGCAGAGCACACAAGCUUCUAGGACAAGAGCCAGAAAGAAACCACCGGAAGGAACCAUCUCACUGUGUGUAAACAUGACUUCCAAGCUGGCCGUGGCUCUCUUGGCAGCCUUCCUGAUUUCUGCAGCUCUGUGUGAAGGUGCAGUUUUGCCAAGGAGUGCUAAAGAACUUAGAUGUCAGUGCAUAAAGACGUACUCCAAACCUUUCCACCCCAAAUUUAUCAAAGAACUGAGAGUGAUUGAGAGUGGACCACACUGCGCCAAUACAGAAAUUAUGUAAGUACUUUAAAAAAGAUUAGAUAUUUUGUUUUAGCAAACUUAAAAUUAAGGAAGGUGGAAAUAUUUAGGAAAGUUCCAGGUGUUAGGAUUACAGUAGUAAAUGAAACAAAACAAAAUAAAAAUAUUUGUCUACAUGACAUUUAAAUAUGAUAGCUUCCACAACUACUAUAAAUGUUAUUUUGGACUUAGACUUUAUGCCUGACUUAAGGAAUCAUGAUUUGAAUGGAAAAACUAAAUAUUAAUCUGAACCAUUUCUUUCUUAUUUCAGUGUAAAGCUUUCUGAUGGAAGAGAGCUCUGUCUGGACC